AACGAACGCUGGCGGCAUGCCUAACACAUGCAAGUCGAACGAGACCUUCGGGUCUAGUGGCGCACGGGUGCGUAACGCGUGGGAACCUGCCCUUAGGUUCGGAAUAACUCCCCGAAAGGGGUGCUAAUACCGGAUAAUGUCUUCGGACCAAAGAUUUAUCGCCUUUGGAUGGGCCCGCGUUGGAUUAGCUAGUUGGUAGGGUAAAAGCCUACCAAGGCGACGAUCCAUAGCUGGUCUGAGAGGAUGAUCAGCCACACUGGGACUGAGACACGGCCCAGACUCCUACGGGAGGCAGCAGUAGGGAAUAUUGGACAAUGGGCGAAAGCCUGAUCCAGCAAUGCCGCGUGAGUGAUGAAGGCCUUAGGGUUGUAAAGCUCUUUGACCCGGGAUGAUAAUGACAGUACCGGGAGAAUAAGCUCCGGCUAACUCCGUG
rnacentral:rRNA from 1 species